rnacentral:rRNA from 1 species
UAGCCGACGUUGUAGAGACUGAUCGGCCGACCAUUGGGUACGUGAGACACGGCCCGAAACCUACCUACCGGGAGGGCAGCAGUAGGGAAGUCCUUCCACAAUGGACGCAAGUCUGAUGGAGCAACGCCGCGUGAGUGAAGAAGGUUUUCGGAUCGUAAAGCUCUGUUGUUGGUGAAGAAGGAUAGAGGUAGUAACUGGCCUUUAUUUGACGGUAAUCAACCAGAAAGUCACGGCUAACUACGUGCCAGCAGCCGCGGUAAAU